GACGAACGCUGGCGGCGUGCUUAACACAUGCAAGUCGAGCGGUAAGGCCCUUUCGGGGGUACACGAGCGGCGAACGGGUGAGUAACACGUGGGUGACCUGCCCUCAGCUCUGGGAUAAGCCUGGGAAACUGGGUCUAAUACUGGAUAUGACUCCACGGUGCAUGUCGUGGGGUGGAAAGCCUUGUGCGGCUGAGGAUGGGCCCGCGGCCUAUCAGCUUGUUGGUGGGGUGANGGCCUACCAAGGCGACGACGGGUAGCCGGCCUGAGAGGGCGACCGGCCACACUGGGACUGAGAUACGGCCCAGACUCCUACGGGAGGCAGCAGUGGGGAAUCUUGCGCAAUGGGCGAAAGCCUGACGCAGCGACGCCGCGUGAGGGAUGACGGCCUCGG
rnacentral:rRNA from 1 species